CCAGCCUGGUCUGCAACAAAGGAAAAAGUUCCUUUGUAGUGGUACUAUGAAAAUGAAUUUGAAAGAACUGGCCACACAAUUGCUAUGAAUUUUCCUCCAUCAAUUUUAGAUAGUGCUCUCAGAUUUCUAUCUGAGAUUUCCUAGGGAAAAAAGUAGGUCCCAGGACCUCUACUUUUUUCUAGUUUACCUACAACACGUGCAACCUAACAUGGCUUAUGCUAUGGAAACAAAGCGUUGAUUCUCGUUAAGAGCAAUGUCAAACACUGGACCUAUGGUGCAGAUGAUCAAUUUGUUAAGAUGAUUUGGGUUUAGCAUGCAAACAUGCAAACAUUCGUCAUCUGGAAAACGUAGCAGAGUUUCCUGUCUCCAAAGUCAGACAGGAAAGAAGGUAUUUUUUAUGACACGUUAUCAGCCUGACUUAUCUCUUUGUUAAGACACUGGCAAAGAAGGAUUCACACUGGUGUCAAUUACAGAUUGACCUGUGCACUGCCUUCCACAAAAGGAACAUGAGCACAAUUUCACUACCUAAGACAGUAGUGGUAACUAAAAAAGGAUAUGUAUGUUCCUUCCAAUGUGAUAAUAUCAAUAUCCAAUAUCCAUAUGUAAAUACACCUGUCUGGGUCAUUCUUGUUAGCAAAAGCUUUUUAUUCUUUCAGUUGUUGGUUGGUUUUCUUCCCUGAGAAAUAUAUUCAAUUUUCAACAAAAAAACCCCUAUACAGAGUAAUGUUUCCUACAAUCCCCCUGAAGAAUUUCCAUAAGGACCCCAAAAGUUUAGAAGAAAAUUACCUGAGUAAUUUUAUUUUGCCAAAUGUCUUUACUAGUUAGUGCUAGGCACUCCAACAAGAGCGUAAUACAGUAUUGAUUAUUAGAAUUCCAUAAGCAGGGAAAAUCUUACUGUAUUAUACUCUUCACUGUAAAUUUCAGGAAGAUUUAUACUUCUUAUACUCUAUCCAAAAGAGCUGAUUAUGAAUAUACAACAGUAAAGACCAAGGAAUAAAAAUGUUUUAACAGCAGUUCAUACUCCAAUUUAACAAAUAAAUAAUAUCUUCAACUACAUCAUGUAUUAAUUAUGACACAGCUGCUUCUUUUUAUAAGGGUUUGAGAGAUAAUACAGUAAGAAUGCAUCCUGUCAGGUUGCUUUAUCUUCACUUCUUGGGUUUAGAGGAGGAUGGAAGCAGGGGGUUGCUUUGUGAAACAUGCCAUCUCCCUGAAUUUAAGAAGAGUUUUACAUCUCUUCCACACAUAUAAUCCUUUUGAUGAACCCUCUAGAAAUAAGACCCCAAAAGAAGGAAGGGAGGAAGUGAGUACCUUUUUUGCACAGUGCAGACAUUUUUGGUAGGGAACAGCCUCUGUCACUCACUCAUCCUCUGUGUUGUGUGAUCUGCAGGCAGAGAUUCAUGUGUGAAAUAAGGUAAAGUGCAGAGAAAACCAAUGUCUCUCAACUGUGUCAUAACUAAGAUGAUUUAUUUCACUGGAGUAAAAAAUGCAUACAAAUAUAUAUGUAUAUACACACAUAAAUUUAGCUGGAGCUGGAAUAAAAGUGCAUAGGAAGGCAGAAGAAUAUUUUAUUAUCUUCUACUAGAAAGCCAUUCCUUUCAUUCUUUAGCACUUACAUACAAUUGGACAUGACCUUUAUCUCCCAAAGCAUCUUUUUGCUACAGAGAAAUUUCUUGAAUUUGUUCUGGUGUUCAAAUUCACUUGACUAUUUGAUUAUUCCUUGAUUUUCAGGCAAAUCAUGAUCAAGUGCAGGACCUCUGUCUAUUCACCACCUUACUUGUGUCUGUUGUGAUGGCUUGUAGCUGCAUACCCACAAAGCCAUGACAUGUCAUUUUACUUCUGUGUUUUCACUUGCUCAGCAUAUCCUCUCCUGAUACCUAAAUUUAGAUUCAGUAACAAUUAAUUCAAGUUGUAAUGCUGACAGGGUAGAUGGUUCUGUGGUGAUAUUGUCUCUGAUGUGCUGAACACUACACAAGGCAGAGAAGAAGCCUUUAAUGUAUUAAACUUAACAAGAUGACAAUUAAUGGAGAACAUGGCUUUCUGGAUGUGUUUCAAGCUUACAUUUAAAACAUGAGCAUAAACUCUUUUGCAAUCUGAACUGUUGUCUAUAUAAGUUUCCUAAUUGGGAUUGAGAGCUUCUAAUGAAACUGACCUGAUAUCAAGCUACUCACUAGGUUUGAUUUAGUAAAGGGAUGAGCACUCUGGACCAAAUUCUGCAAGCACUUCUUACGCACAUGCCUUACUUUAAACCACAUGAAAAGUUCCUUUUAAGACAAAAAUCUUUCUUGUGCUCUCAGGUUGAACAUGUACUCUGCUGCUUUGCAGGAGAGUGCAUUGCUCUCAGUAGCUUUUCACCCACAACAACCUUAAAUGUUAUCAAACUGUGGCAGCUAGUUCACAUGUCUCGUAAAAUACUUCUAGGACCCAUUUAUGCCAAGUUCGUGCAGGUUUCUCAUGUAUACAAGUCUCAUCUUAGAUCAAGACAUCCUGUGAUCAUGUGUCAUAGCAUUACAAACAGGGUAACAAGUGGCCAGACUUAGCACAAAUGCAGCUGUGGGGAGUCCGACCUAGUGAAAUCUAGUUUAUCUGAAGUCUAGUUUAUGAAUGUUCUUGCAAGACAGCUAACACAGUACUGCACCUUCAAAUGAUACAUCAGUGGCCUUUUGCUUCCUACAGUGAAAAGAAACAUAGACCACAGCACAGAAAAUCAGUUCUGGAAAGUUCCUUGUGACAAAAAUGCAUUCUUGCUUAAGAGCAUCUAGCAUCUUCUGCCCAACCCAAAACCACAGAGGGUAAGUGACAAAUCUCCUUCUCUAAAGCCAUAAUGAAGAGCUAUAUUAACAAGGCAAUAAAAAAAAAACUUGUAAUAAAUUAACUGCUUAGUUUUUUCAGGGAACAUAAAAUUUUUUCCUCAGUUUCAGCUCAUUCUGCACUAAAAUGCUCCCAAGGGCUGGCAGUUGCUUGGUCCCAUGGGGAAGCCAUGCUCUCCCUGUGGGAGGUCUGCGGAGGAUGCUGCCCACCCAUGGCAUGAAAUAUGCAAUGUCUGUCUUCUCUACCCACCCACAGUGCAGCAACAAGGAGCCCAGAAAGCUUACUUAAUACCUCCCUGUUUGUGUGUAAUUUCUUUCUGUUUCUGCAGAAACAGAAUAUCAACAUCAUCCUUGCAAAGAUAAGAAAGAAUCGGGCUAAAGUAUGACCUUCACUUCCAUACAGUCGUUUUAUCGUGGCUAUAUAUUAGUGAGUCGCAGGAUCCUAAAGAGCAGCAGAUAUGACAUUCAUAUACUCAUGUUAUUGAUUAAUUGUUUGCUAUAUAUCAAAUUCAGUAGGCUGAACCUCUUGAUAGGAAAUUUUUUGGUACAAAAGUGCAUGUGCAUGCACACUCACGAAUGUGUGUGCACAGACAUAAGGUGUGCACAUGUGUGUUGAACAGCUCCCCGUGAGAAGUGAUGUUUUAACAGUGUGUUUGCUGGAAUAAAUGGUGCUCACACAGUUCCCAAGCAGAUGUAAGUUACCCAUAUGCUGUGCUUUUUUAUCUCUUAAACCAGAUUUACUGUGAAAUUUUGUGCAGUGUGAGAUGGUGAUUUUUAACUUAUCUAUUUAUCUCUACUGGGACUUGGAUUUUUGUCUUCCUUUACUUGUCUGUGAGCCUCCCAGUAGAAGAUGAUAAACAGUUUCUAUUCUCCACUCCUGUUAUCAUUUUCUAUUACUUUAUUUUAAUCAAUUGUUUUUAUUCAUUGAUAACCAGGCUUGUAAAAACAACUUUGAAUAACCAGCACACUAAAACACCUGCUAGAAAACAGUUUACAAGAAAUAUCUGUCCCCUGUCCUUUGAUGAGUUUUCAUCCUAUUCUAAGCAAACAUUUUGGAACCGAGUCCUUUAUCCUAGGAUAGAUGCACCCAUCUAUCUGUCUGUCUAUCUAUCUACCUAGCUAUUUACCUUUGGUUUGCUAAUUGAAACGUUUUUCCUGGAUAGUUUGCUUUCUCAGCAGUUAUUUGCAACAUCUGAAACAAAGUGAAUAUAGAAAGGAUCGACUUUAGGAAGUUUUCUUUAAAUGCUCAGAUCCUCAGUGCUUCAUAUUCUCAGGAAAAAAAAAGCUGAACAGAGACCCUUAAACAGAAUUCAGUAUAUGGAAUGAGGAAAAUAUAGUUGUAUUAAAUAAGGAACAGAAGGCCCGCCAUGCAUUAGAUAGCUUGCAACCCAGAUUGAAUUUGUACUGAAGGCUCAUCAAAAUGCAUAUCAGAGAGAAGAUCUACCCAUCAGCUUGCUGAGAUUUCAGACAGGCAUCCUAUCAAACUGGUUCCCAAAUGUCUGAAGUAGCCCCUUGCCAUGAAUCAAACUACACUUCUGUCAUGGGGCUCCAGUUAUGCUUGUGUCUCACCCUGAGGAAGUAUCCAAGCAGACAGGUAGCAGAAAUCUGGAAGACCAUGCAUUCACCCCUUCAUUUCCAAGUCCCCUGUAAGAUGUAGAGCUUUAUUAUACUUACCUGGAAGUGGUCCACUUACGUGAAGUGGUCCAUUUCAUACAACACUGGAAAACGAAGGUCAAUGAAGAUUCUUGAAGAAAUUGGGCUUAAUAAUAGUGACUCUUUUUGUCAGAUUUCAUUUUGGGGGAAUCAUUCCUAUAAUUCUCUGCUUUUCUGAAGAUUUUCUCCAUAUUGCCUUCACAACCUUGACCAGGAAAAAGAAAAAAAAAAGGAAAAUAAAGUCACAGAAGAAAUAAUAAUGUUUUUGUAAGAGAGACGUUGCCUGAUUAAUAUUAGCUGUUUGCUCAUUAUAGUGCAAGAAAAAUUAGAGAGGAGGGGAUGGUUGGAAGUAGGAGAGAAGGAAGAGUGAACUCCAUAUUUUUUGCAGAAUGCAUUUUUCAUGGAGUCUGCAAAAUGCUUUGGAGGGGGGUUUGCAUGACUGGAUUUUGUAAUCCCCAUAACUUGGAAAUCAAUAAGAUAAAUGGAGGAGAAAUGAACAGCUAGUGGCCUCAGUCUUGAUGAUUCGAGGAUAAAUCCUUUUAAUAAACAUGAAACUGCAGCAGAGCAGAAACUCUAAGUCCUACUUUUGAUUUAAAGAUGUUUAUCUCUCUAUCUGCUACAUUUCUCAGGUUUUAUUCUCCUCGUAUCUUUUCAAUUUUAUCUCUCUGGUUACCCAUAUGGUUAAUUGUUUUUUGCAUUUAUUCUUCAAAGAUGAAGCAUGUGCAUACGUACAUAACACAUUAAUAUAUGCAAGCAGUGGGGACAUACAUAUAGUUUGGGUUUGUAGUAGCUCCCAAGACUUAAUGGAAAAUCACUGUUAUCCUAUAGUCAUUUUGUUUAUGUUUGAAACAUGCUGUUGUCUGAAUAGCAGAAUCACAUAGGUGAAAGGUAGAAGAAAAUAAGGGCAAUUUCACUUAAGGAAAACUUACUUACAGAGAGAUUUUGCUGGUGAUGGUGAUCACAAGAAAACCAUUAUAAAAAAUGAGCAAACUGCACCAGUUUCUCAGCAUUAGGACUCUUUCACUAGUUAACCCAUCAGAAUUGAGAUUUGUCAAGGCUUGUUUUAUGUAAUAAAUGUUUGAUUAAUUUGUACAUUUCUACAAUGUAACAGAAAUAAUUUGGAAGUUCAAGAUUUAAUAUCCAGGCUUCCUUUAUAUACACAAGGGGGAAAAAAUACGUUUAGAUCUCUCAUUUAUUUUCCAAUUAACUGUUCUUUAUCCAUGCAUUAAUAUUACAGAUGUCUCAAGAAUAAUUAAAACAGAUAAGCAAUUUAUAAAAUCUUCACAUUUCAUGCUAAUUACCAUAAUGUAAUGUUACAUUUUUAUUAGCAGCUUUUGUUCCCUCCCCCCACUGUUAACUUCUAGGAACCCUGGGGCCUGAGCCAGUCAGUAUGUUAUAAAUCUUUGUUAAAAUACGACAUGAAGCUAAGAAGUUUGCAACAAAGCAAAUUGGACAGUGAUGGAGCUCUCCUUUCUUUACCUUCAUUUCCCAACAGCCAGCCUGUCAUCAAAUAUGAAAACAAUGAUGGCUUUCCACAGUUUCUCACUGUGAAGGUUAAGGGGCUCCCAGGACAGAGGGUUGUGAGGAUGGGCUUUGAAGUUGUCAGUCCAUGAGAAAGACAGAGGAGAGCAAAUUGAUCCGAAGAUCCUGAUACAGACCUAAGUCACAGGCCCAGGAAGUGAUUGUAGAGUCAACAUACAUAGCACCACUAUAUCACACAAUUAUAUUCACAAGAAAUUAAUUCCCAUCUCAAAAUGAGCUGGCUUGUUUGUUCUUAUCAUUUCUAUGCAGAUUACUAUCAGAAUUCAAAAAUAAACAUUCAAGGGGGAAUUCCUAGAGAUGCUUAAUGUUCAAGCCAUCAAGUGAGAGAAUAGAAGUGCCACACUAUUACAUGAGCUCUUCCACACCUCUGUUCCAGACUUCAGUGGAACCAUACUCACAGUCAAGCUAAACACCAGGGUUAUCGUGAGCAGUUUGGAAUAAGAAGUAAAAAUAGUUUACAUUGAUAAAGAGGCUAACUUUGCUGAAAUAUCCGACUUCAUAUCAUUAAGUACCUCCUCCAGUGUUUAAAAGAAUAGGAUAAACUUGUCCAAUGAAUGAGCAACAAUAUCAGCUUCUCUGGUAGCAAUAUCAGUGGCCAGCACAUUAGCAUGUGCACACACAGAGGUGCACACAUGUAUGCACACCAUUCUACUCUGGUGCUGCACAGCAGAGCCAAACACUCAAGUGUGCUAUUAGUUGCAUGUCUUAGCAGCCUCUUUCAGAUCAGCCUUUAAGCAGUAAUUUGUGCCAUAAUGAAGAUAAUGUACCUCCAUAUGUUUCAAAAAUACACUCAUCUAAGC